UGUGACAUUCAGCGUCUGACUCCACUGACCUUUAACAGUAAUUCUGUGUCUCGUCGCAGAGCUGGAGCACAGAGCUGCAUGUCACCUGAAUAGGAGUGUGCUCGGGCACGGGUCUAAUCCUAUUUGUUAAGCCCUUCCACUGGGUAACAAUGGAAAUGUAUGCAUCCUCCCCAAACCAGAACUGUGCCCACGGAAUGAGAAAGGGUUGUUGAGUGAGGAAAGACAACACAACAGAAUACAAAAGAGCAGAAGAAAAGCAGCUGAGGGGGAGAAGAGAAGAGAAGUGGAAGACCUUGAUCUUAAGAGAUGACGGCCCAAGACUAAUUUUUGUUGCUUGUAAUGAAUUGGUCCCUUGAACUUUUUCGUCGUAUGACCAAAAAGAGAACCUUCCAUUUCAUAUUGCGCCGAGUCGCAACACAACAUGAUAUUCAGACAUGCAACUGCAAAGGAAGAUGUCAGGCUCCAGCUCAGUUCAUAUGGCCCGAUGAUGAAACAUGAUCCCCUCCAGCCACUUUACCCCCAUCUCCCCUUGAAGACGGAUAACGAUGAGGAGAGUCAAGGACAGGGCGAGAGAGAGACAAGGAGAGAGGAGUGAGGAGUUUGUUUACACAAGAGUGCGGUUCAAAGACAGAGGGAGAGAGAAAAGAACGAAGGGCGACGCUGAGGUUGAUGGUAUCGAGAGUACAGAAUCAAAGUUAAAUUGUGGGGAGAGAUCGCGAAAGACAAGAAAGAAAAGAAAGGAGAAUGAUGGAUGCUGAACCAAAAUUGAAGGUGACAUAUUAUGCAAAAAUCCCUUUUUCAGUGUUUGUGCACAUAAUGGGUAUCUGUGGAGCCUGCCUGCCCACAAACUGUGAAAAAAGACCACCCUGUUGUUAUUUUGUGGGCUGGCUGAACCCGAAAGCCUGGCUCUGAACCACUGGUUCAGAUUCAUGUACUAAUGUGAUGUCACAGACAGAAAUCCAGGCCUUUUAGACAGAAGGUGAAAAGGGGAGCUGCAGGAAUGGGCAAUAUGAGGAUACUGAUGCCUUUUUCUGAACAUUAGAGCAUGUAAUCCUUUUCAAGUGGUCAUCCAAGUAUAAACCUGAAUUUGAGCAUAAUAUGUCUCCUUUAAGUCAAUUUCCAGUUUUGAGAUCUAAACACCUUAAUCAUUGGUAUUUCACAGUUGCAGCCAUUUAUGGCAGAAGCUUGAUCAUUUCAGCCUGAAUCUUUCUGGUCAGAUUGAUGAGCCAAGGACAUGGAGUUUUAUAAUCCUGAACCAAUACAGUGUAGUUUUCCUUUAAGUGAAAAUUAUGGAACUAGCCAUUUUGAACCAAACACCACAGCGGGUUCAGACCUUGAGUUCUCACAAAAUCUCUGUGUUGCCAAAAGGAGAGAAAUCCCAUCAGCCAGCUGGGCAUGAGUCUCAGCUCCUCUAGCACAGCUCUCACACAAUCUGGACGGACCACAUUAUAGCCAGAGAAGAAGAAAUGUACAUCAGCCACUGGACAUGUACAACAAAAACUCUAUGUCUUUUAGCACUGCAUAGAAAAUACCAACUGGCAGAUUAUGUGUGAGUGACAAGAA